rnacentral:rRNA from 1 species
UACGGGGGGGGCAAGCGUUGUUCGGAAUUACUGGGCGGAAAGGGCUCGUAGGCGGCCAACUAAGUCGGAUGUGAAAUCCCCAGGCUUAACCUGGGAACUGCAUCCGAUACUGGAUGGCUUGAAUCCGGGAGAGGGAUGCAGAAUUCCAGGUGUAGCGGUGAAAUGCGUAGAUAUCUGGAGGAACACCGGUGGCGAAGGCGGCAUCCUGGACCAACACUGACGCUGAGGAGCGAAAGCCAGGGGAGCAAACGGG